ACAGCAGCAGCCGCGGUAAUACGGAGGGUGCAAGCGUUAAUCGGAAUUACUGGGCGUAAAGCGCACGCAGGCGGUCUGACAAGUCAGAUGUGAAAUCCCCGGGCUUAACCUGGGAACUGCAUUUGAAACUGUCAGGCUGGAGUCUUGUAGAGGGGGGUGGAAUUCCAGGUGUAGCGGUGAAAUGCGUAGAGAUCUGGAGGAAUACCGGUGGCGAAGGCGGCCCCCUGGACAAAGACUGACGCUCAGGUGCGAAAGCGUGGGGAGCAAACAGGAUUAGAUACCCGUGUAGUCCCUGUCUCUUAUAA
rnacentral:rRNA from 1 species